UACGUAGGUGGCAAGCGUUGUCCGGAAUUACUGGGUGUAAAGGGAGCGCAGGCGGGAAUCUAAGUCAGCUGUGAAAGCCCCAGGCUUAACCUGGGAGGUGCAGUUGAAACUGGAAUUCUUGAGUGAAGUAGAGGUAGGCGGAAUUCCGAGUGUAGCGGUGAAAUGCGUAGAUAUUCGGAGGAACACCAGUGGCGAAGGCGGCCUACUGGGCUUUAACUGACGCUGAGGCUCGAAAGUGUGGGGAGCAAAC
rnacentral:rRNA from 1 species